CUGCAGAGCAGUGAUCCCUUCUAGCCUGGCUCAUGGGACUCUAGAGGGAAUCAGUCUGCAACAGUAAGUGGUAAGUUCUUCUGUCCAGCAUGGUGGACAUGUGGUGGCUUUAGACUUGCCAGAUACCA